GCAAUUGGAAGAAGUGGAUAUGCUACGAGUAAAUGAUUUUAAACUGACUUGCUUUACGUCCACCUCAACACGGCCAUACUGUGAAGGAAGCCUUCCCCAGUGUUUGUGAGUCUUGUGGACAAAUUCUUGACAAAUGCAGGUUGUGGAGUGAACUAGAACACAGGCUAGAAUGACAACCUUCCUGGGCUUUAUCAUAGAACUCCUGGAAAAUGCUUCACCAUCAUUAAGAAGAUUGGCUAAGAAAUCUACUUGUCCUUGAGUCAAUUUCCUGUCAUCAGUAAACAUGUGAUUUACCUAAGAAGGCAGAAGGUGACACAGUCCCAUUGCUGCGUGAUACCAUGACACUGAUGCCAGUCUCUAUAAAGGGCACAGAGAAGUCAACAACCUCUGAUCGUUCUUCAUUGAUAGUUAGUGACCCCACUGCCAUGUAGGCCCUCUUCAUGACCACCUGAAAAAAAAAGGUACAAUGCUCCAAUUAGAAUGUUACAGAAGGCAGGUCUACCACAAGCAAAAUUAUCAUGGCUCAGCAGUCACUUGGGCACCAUCCCUAGAAUACCAUUCCCCUCCUCUGUGGGUCUGUCGUUGGCCUGGAGCUCACCAAUUUAGCUAGCCUCGGUAGCCACCAGGCCCCAGGAAUCCUUCCCAGCACUGGGAUUAUAAGCACAUAUUAUCGUAAUUGAAAUUUCAUUUGGGUUCUGGGGAUCAAACUCAGGUCCUCAUGAUUAUAAGAUAAGCACGUUACUGGCUGAGCUAUUUCUCCUUCUCUCUAGUUAUUAUUUUACAUGUUGUUAAGUUCACAAGAUAAACCUUUAACAAUGUUUAAGCAAAACAUAAGUGCACAACGGAAAUGACUUUGUCGUGACCUUGCCCCUGAUACUGACCUCACCGAUCAUGCCAUUCCAGGUCCCAUUGAUUUUCUUUCCAUGCUUGCCAUUGGUCACCAGGUAAAGGUCAUAGGUGAACUUCACAGACUUAGAAAUUUUCUUAAGGAUAUCAAUACAGAACCCCUUGCAGCAUUUUUUGAUGUAGCCUGGCUCCUCAUCUGUUUUAUUCCUACCCAGUUAAAGAAA